CCCCUGUAAUUCUUCAGGGGGUGUUUAGUUAUAAUGAGAUUAUCCACGUGGAGACCUCAGCAAAGGUGGGGUGGAGUGCACCAAGGGUGAAAGCACAGGAAAGAGUGAAAAAGUCACCAAAUAAGUAACACUAAAAGAAGAUAGAAAAUAUUCACAUUGAAGAAACAUGUCUGAUGCAGUCCCCUGUACAAAGACACUGCUGUGUUGUCUACACCUACUUCAGAUAGCAACAGAUUUUCAAGAACAGUCAAGAGUUCACUCAAACUAAGAAAGGGUAGAUGUUUGCCAAGAAUUCAUUUCACUUAGAUAAAGAUUCACAUCGUAAGUCACAGCCAUCUUCAGGUUUUUGCCAAAGCGGUUGAAGUUCAAGAAGUUAACAAGUAACUGAAAAUAAAGCUUUUAAUGGACAGCCUGAGAUAGU